GACAGAGGGUGCAAACGUUGUUCGGAAUUACUGGGCGUAAAGCGCGUGUAGGCGGGUCGUUAAGUGUCCGCGUGAAAUCCCACGGCUCAACCGUGGAACUGCCGGGCAUACUGGCGACCUUGAGGCACUUAGGGGCGAGCGGAACAAAUGGUGGAGCGGUGAAAUGCGUAGAUAUCAUUUGGAACGCCGACGGUGAAAACAGCUCGCUGGGAGUGUCCUGACGCUGAGACGCGAAAGCGUGGGGAGCGAACAGG
rnacentral:rRNA from 1 species